UGGCUCAGUGGUAGAGUGCUUGCCUAGCAUGCAGGAAGCCCUGGGUUCGAUUCCUCAG
rnacentral:tRNA from 1 species